ACGUAGGUGGCAAGCGUUAUCCGGAAUUAUUGGGCGUAAAGAGGGAGCAGGCGGCAGCAAAGGUCUGUGGUGAAAGACUGAAGCUUAACUUCAGUAAGCCAUAGAAACCGGGCAGCUAGAGUGCAGGAGAGGAUCGUGGAAUUCCAUGUGUAGCGGUGAAAUGCGUAGAUAUAUGGAGGAACACCAGUGGCGAAGGCGACGAUCUGGCCUGCAACUGACGCUCAGUCCCGAAAGCGUGGGGAGCAA
rnacentral:rRNA from 1 species